rnacentral:rRNA from 1 species
GACGAAGGGGGCAAGCGUUGUUCGGAAUUACUGGGCGUAAAGGGCGCGUAGGCGGCCUGAUGAGUCAGACGUGAAAGGCCUGGGCUCAACCUGGGAAUUGCGUUUGAUACUGUCGGGCUUGAGAGCGGGAGAGGAUGGUGGAAUUCCCAGUGUAGAGGUGAAAUUCGUAGAUAUUGGGAAGAACACCGGUGGCGAAGGCGGCCAUCUGGACCGUAUCUGACGCUGAGGCGCGAAAGCGUGGGGAGCAAACAGG